rnacentral:rRNA from 1 species
UACGUAGGGGCCAAGCGUUGUUCGGAAUUACUGGGCGUAAAGCGUACGUAGGCAGCUUUGUAAGUCAGAUGUAAAAUUUCCCGGCUUAACCGGGAACCUGCGUUUGAUACUGCAUUGCUAGAGAGUGGUAGAGGGAAGCGGAAUUUCCGGUGUAGCGGUGAAAUGCGUAGAUAUCGGAAGGAACACCAGUGGCGAAAGCGGCUUCCUGGACCACUUCUGACGCUAAGGUACGAAAGCUAGGGGAG